rnacentral:rRNA from 1 species
CCAAUAGCGUAUAUUAAAGUUGUUGCAGUUAAAAAGCUCGUAGUUGAAUUUCGAGAUCAAAUUGUUGGUCGUGCCUCGGUACGUACUGGCAUUAUUGAUUUCUCCCUUCUGAAGAACCACGAUGUCAUUAAUUUGGUGUCGUGGGGAAUCAGGACUGUUACUUUGAAAAAAUUAGAGUGUUUAAAGCAGGCUCACGCUUGAAUACAUUAGCAUGGAAUAA